rnacentral:rRNA from 1 species
GAAUUUUGCGCAAUGGGCGGAAGCCUGACGCAGCAACGCCGCGUGGAGGAAGAAGGCCCUCGGGUCGUAAACUCCUGUCCAUGGGGAAGAUGGUGACGGUACCCUUGGAGGAAGCCCCGGCUAACUCCGUGCCAGCAGCCGCGGUGAUACGGGGGGGGCAAGCGUUGUUCGGAAUUACUGGGCGUAAAGGGCUCGUAGGCGGCCAACUAAGUCGGAUGUGAAAUCCCCAGGCUCAACCUGGGAACUGCAUCCGAUACUGGAUGGCUUGAAUCCGGGAGAGGGAGGCAGAAUUCCAGGUGUAGCGGUGAAAUGCGUAGAUAUCUGGAGGAAUACCGGUGGCGAAGGCGGCAUCCUGGACCGGCAUUGACGCUGAGGAGCGAAAGCCAGGGGAGCAAACGGG